rnacentral:rRNA from 1 species
UACAGAGGGGGCAAGCGUUGUUCGGAAUUACUGGGCGUAAAGGGCGCGUAGGCGGCCUUCUAAGUCGAACGUGAAAUCCCUGGGCUCAACCCAGGAACUGCGUCCGAUACUGGAAGGCUUGAAUCCGGGAGAGGGAUGCGGAAUUCCAGGUGUAGCGGUGAAAUGCGUUGAUAUCAGAAGGAACGCCGGUGGCGAAAGCGACGGACUGGAUCUCUUCUGACGCUGAGGCGCGAAAGCUAGGGGAGCAAACGGG